ACCAUGGUGGACCAUGGGUAACUGAAACUCUGGAAAGUGAAACUUAGGAUAAGAGGUGGAUAUUAUUAUACUUUGGGGAAGUCGGGGAGGCUGCACAAAGAUACAAAGUUGGGGGUAUUUGAAGACCUGAAUAAUGGCAAAUGAUUUCUGUUUGUUUGGGAGCAUUUGAGAACUGAAUAGAAUUAAAUUUUACUUAAUCAUCAUCAAGAGGCCUGGGGCACAAUAAGAAAGAGAAGAUAAUGAGAAAUCCAAGUUUGGAAAAAUAUUUGGCUACGUGAUGAUACAAUUAACCAAGAGAUCCUGAGAAGGAUAUAUCUAGAUAGAAAAAUAGGAAGGAGAAAAUGCUAACUUUUGAAUUUUAAACAAGUUGAGACUAAAGUGUUUGAAGCAUCAAUCAAGAGUUGUGUAAGUACAGUACUCAAAAUGUCAGGAUUAGACAAACAGAGUAAGCGACAGUUUGCUCAAGUUCAAAACAUUUCUAUUACUAUUAUCAACUAUAUACCCCCCAAAGAAAUCCACAGAAUGAGCAAGUGGGAAGAGGGAGAACAAUGCCAAACUCCUGUAAAUUACUAUAGUACUCUGAUUUAUAAUACGUGUUCGGGUUGCCAAGAAGCUUUUUUUGUUGUUGUUUACUUCUUAGAUCUGACCACACUAACCUCCAGUUAAGUGAGGUUAUGUGUACCAUAUAAAUAAGAUUUAGCAAGCAUGGUCCUAUUCAUGGUUUAUUCAUUCAGGGGGAAAGCAGUCUUCAUAGCGUAGUACAAUAAGUCAGGAACAUGUACUGACUUGUACUUCUGCCGUUUAUGUAGCAAUUUCCUUGUAUGUCAACACCAUUGUUCGCAGCCCUGCAAUUUUUAAAGUGUGCUGGACAAUGUGAUGAAAACAUUAGCACAAUACAACCCAACUUCCCUAUAUGCUAAUUAUCAUGGAAAAUGGCUGACCAAAAGACAAAAUUCCUUUAAAAAAUUUACUUUAUGUGCUUCAAAGUGAGUGGUUUAAUACAUUUAAAAAAACAUAAACACAAAAGUUUGUAAACUCAGUAUGGAAAAGUAUCACUUUCAUAUGCAAUCCUUAAGUUUAAUAUUAAUAAAGUUUAACUUCUAAGGUUACUUUAUUUACCAAAAAUUAAAUACCUGAAAUGAUAUAUUACUGAAUUAUUUUUUAAACUUCAAAAUAACCAUGGGUAGAAACUACCCUAUAAACAUACAUACAGAUGUUCUAAGGAAAAAUAGACAUCUUUAACAUACUUACUUGGUUUUAAAUCAUAAUAAUCACAGCAGGCAAAAUAGUAUAUUCAUCGAGUUAGAGUCAAUGCAGUUAAAUAAUUUAUUAAUGUUAUACAAUUUAUACAUGGAUAAGAGGAAUAACAAAUGCUAUUCACUGGAUUCUUCAAGCAGAUUUUAGAAACUUUAUUUGAAUUAUUUAAUCUCUGCCAAAGUCCAUCUGUUUAUACUUGGUGCUUUGGAAACACUCAGUUGGAUUCUUCCAAACAGCAAAUGGCAGGUCAAGUUUAGAGCAUGUGACUUCCCCAAUAAUUAUAUUUAAAUAGCAUGCAGUGAGUGAGAAAUCAGAUUCCCCACAGACACUGGAGAAAGACUGAAUUCUUACUCUUCAAAGAAAAAUAUCAAAAGGAGGAUCAUGCUCAAGCUAUCACUGGUUGGUCUGCUCCUGUUUGUUAAUAAUAUUCUGGGAACAACUUCAACAUCAACAACCUCAAACUCUGUGGCAGUAUCCACUCCUGGGUCAAGUCUGAAUCCCGGCACCAGACCAAAUCUGAGGACCAGCACCACUCCCAGAAUGAACCCCAAUCCCAGGACAAGCCCAAAUCUCAAAAUGACAUCGAAUCCCAAGACAACUCAAAAUUUCAAGACAAGUCUAAAUACAGCAGUGACCCCAAAGAUAGCCACAAGUAAGAAUAUGAACACUGUGAGAAAUGGUAGCACCAUACUCAAUCCAAUGGACAACAUUCAUCUUAUUUUCUAUGUAAUAUUUUUGCUGUUUUGUGUACACUUGCACUCAGGCUGAAGUGAACUUCAAUUGCCUGCAUUCUUAUCUGUUUCUUAUUACCUGCUGAAUGACAAGCACAUUAGAAAAUUAUCACUUACUUCAACUUACUACUUAAGAAAUUAUAUAAAAAAAAAUUAUCAUUAUCCUAGCUUGAUUUGGUUGUUUGCAAAUUAUAAUUGUCUAAGUUUAAAUAUUACCUUAAUAUGAUGGUUUCCUUCCAUAUGAAAAAGGUAUGUACUACCUUAUUAAAUGCUGAAACAAGCAAAA